rfam:Aedes aegypti strain Liverpool supercont1.27 genomic scaffold, whole genome shotgun sequence.
CGUUCUGUGGCGUAGUUGGUUAACGCGCCCAGUCUAGCGUAUUGAGAGUCAUGGGAUCGAAGCCCAUCAGAACGA